rnacentral:rRNA from 1 species
AACGAACGCUGGCGGCAUGCCUAACACAUGCAAGUCGAACGAAACCUUCCUGUCUAUGUGCGCACGUGUGCGUACCGCCCGGUAACCUGCCCUUAAGUUCCGUAUACCUCCCCUAAGGGUGUGCUAAUACCAGUUAAUCUCUUACCACCAAAGAGUUAUCGCUUUUGGAUGGGUCCGCGUUGGUUUCGCUAGUUGGUAGGGUACAAGCAUGCCAAGGAGAGGAUCCAUAGCUGGUCUGAGAGGAUGAUCAGCCACAAUGGGACUGAGACACGGCCCAGACUCGGAGGCAAGGCAGAAGUGGGUAAUAUUGGACGCGGGGCGAAGGCGUAACACAGCAAUGCGGCGUGAGUGAUCAAGGGCUUAGGGUUGUAAAGCUCUUUUACACGGGAUGAUAAUGACAGUACCGGGAGAAUAAGCUCCGGCUAACUACGUG